rnacentral:sRNA from 1 species
ACCAACUCAAGGUGGUGACUGGAGGCCAG